GGGUCAGUAGCUCGAACGGCUAGAGCACCGGACUCCAAAUCCGGGGGUUGCAGGUUCGAAUCCUGCCUGACCCGCGA
rnacentral:tRNA from 2 species